UGACGGUAGUGGUAGAAGAAGCACCGNNNAACUACGUGCCAGCAGCCGCGGUAAUACGUAGGGUGCGAGCGUUNUCCGGAAUUACUGGGCGUAAAGAGCNGGUAGGUGGUCUGUCGCGUCAUUUGUGAAAGCCCGGGGCUUAACUCCGGGUUGGCAGGUGAUACGGGCAUGACUGGAGUACUGUAGGGGAGACUGGAAUUCCUGGUGUAGCGGUGAAAUGCGCAGAUAUCAGGAGGAACACCGGUGGCGAAGGCGGGUCUCUGGGCAGUAACUGACGCUGAGGAGCGAAAGCAUGGGUAGCGAACAGG
rnacentral:rRNA from 1 species